CCUACGGGAGGCAGCAGUGGGGAAUCUUGCGCAAUGGGCGAAAGCCUGACGCAGCCAUGCCGCGUGAAUGAUGAAGGUCUUAGGAUUGUAAAAUUCUUUCACCGGGGACGAUAAUGACGGUACCCGGAGAAGAAGCCCCGACUAACUUCGUGCCAGCAGCCGCGGUAAUACGAAGGGGGCUAGCGUUGCUCGGAAUUACUGGGCGUAAAGGGAGCGUAGGCGGAUAGUUUAGUCAGAGGUGAAAGCCCAGGGCUCAACCUUGGAAUUGCCUUUGAUACUGGCUAUCUUGAGUACGGAAGAGGUAUGUGGAACUCCGAGUGUAGAGGUGAAAUUCGUAGAUAUUCGGAAGAACACCAGUGGCGAAGGCGACAUACUGGUCCGUUACUGACGCUGAGGCUCGAAAGCGUGGGGAGCAAACAGGAUUAGAUACCCUGGUAGUCCACGCUGUAAACGAUGAGUGCUAGUUGUCGGCAUGCAUGCAUGUCGGUGACGCAGCUAACGCAUUAAGCACUCCGCCUGGGGAGUACGGUCGCAAGAUUAAAACUUAAAGGAAUUGACGG
rnacentral:rRNA from 1 species